CAGACUCUUCAUAUUCAUCUUCCAAUACACAGUCUCUUUCUCAUCUUCCCUAGGUAUUAAGUACACUGCUCAAUACACACUAGGCAGUCUCUUUCUCAUCUGUUCCUCUCUCUCCAUCUCUCAUUUUACCUAGAUUCCAAUUGUUAAGAGCCCUCUCUCUCUCAUGGGUAUGAUUCGCAAAAAACUUUGAUACGGCCGAGAAACGUGACGAAACUGAUGCAAAGAAGGAAGAUGAUUCAGUGAAGCGGGCGAGAAGCUGCGACCACCGUGUGAAGGAUUUUUCGCCAUCUCUAUGAAUCAGCCUCCCCAUCGGCGGAGUAACUUCCUCAAUAGCUGGAAAGUUCGCUUUCUUCCCACCACAACCACCAUCCUACACACUCACAGUAUCUGAAUCCACCACCGCCGCCGCAAACGGUCCUUCACCGCGACAAAGCUUUUGAAUCCCUUACGAAGCUAAGUGAUACUUUGACUACUCUAUAACAUACUUCUAUAAUUUUGUUUAUUGUAGGUCCUUGCCUACAUUGGGUUUUCUCAGCUCCAAUUGGAUAGCGGAACAACCGUUCUAGGAUGGUUGACGAAUGCGGGAAUUUGUAGUUCUAUCUGUCAAACGGACCACUGAAGACAUUGAUGUGAUUAAGCGGUUUAUGGUUCUUCAUGACAUUAAGACAAGUAACGAGGAAGAGGAUGCAGAGUAUAAUCAGGACCUUGCUGGGCAAUAUGGUAGGAAGGAUCCGCCAAGAUGAUUGACACAAAUACUUAUAUAAUGUUUAUGUGGUUUUAUUGCUAAGAAUGUUGAAGCUAUGUAUUUUGACAUAAACACUUCAAGAAUGGUGGAUGCAUUUGUUGCUGUAGAAUCUCUUUUGUUUUAACAGGUUGUAUAUCACUGUUUUUAGAAUUUGUUUAGUUGAAACCUACCAAUGUGACUCUUUUUCUUUUGUUUGUUUUGGUUUUUGGAUAGUAAAAUUAAAGGAUGUUUGCAGGAGCUGUCUGAAUCAGGAAGCAAUUUAUUCAAAGCUGAUAGGGGAUGAAAGGAUUACAUUUGGUCUUAUUCUAGGUUUUCACUAUAAAAUUGGGGAUAAUCUUGAUUCUGGUAUUCCGAUUUGAUUUGUGUCUGAUAGAGUGACCGUAUACAAAUUUGGACGAGAUGUAUGAAGUAGUAGUCAAACCUGUACUGGAAUCAGCCAUUGAAUGGGUUUCAAAAUUGUAGAAAUUGAAUGUGAUAUUUUUAGUUGUUUGAAAUUUAGUAUCAACUAUGAGUCAUUCAGUUUGAUGAAAUCUACUUUGCAUUUUAAUUGUUCUAUAAAAAGAUCACAAGAACUUACUUGAGGCAAGUCUCAUUCUUA